CUUGGGGGGGGGUUCCUUCAGCCUGGAUUGUGAGAGGGUGCAGGCCAGGCCGAGGGACCCCACCAGUACACG
rnacentral:pre_miRNA from 1 species